AUGAAAAGUGAGUUUUGUUUUGCAAAAUGUUUCUCUUUCUUUCGUUCCGUUUGUUUGUUUUUUUUCCCCCGUUUUCCUUUUCCUAUAUAAUAUUGUUAUAUUGUUAUCAGCUACAAGCGUGCCCGCACAAUCGGCGGCGACGGAAUGUAUAAAAUAGUUGAGAAAAAAAAAACAAAUUACGCGAGCCUACACGCAGCGCUACACAGUACACAGUACGUAGGUAUACGACGACGUUUUAUUGUAUGCAAAUGGUCAUGAUAUGAAAUAUUAUUUUACCGUGUGUGCGCCGCGCGGUCCAUACCGCAGUAGAAAGUUAAACAUAAUAAUAAUAGCGUCAUAUUAUAUACCAUUAUAAAGUCUAUUACGGCGUUUGAAUGGCCAAACAGGACGCCUCCUGUUUUUGGAACGGACGAGUAAAACGGGUGUCAAACUACAUA